rnacentral:rRNA from 1 species
AGCGAUUACUUCGGUAAGAGCGGCGGACGGGUGAGUAACGCGUGGGUAACCUGCCUCAUACACAUGGAUAACAUACCGAAAGGUAUGCUAAUACAGGAUAAUAUAAGAGAUUCACAUGGAUUUCUUAUCAAAGCUCCGGCGGUAUGAGAUGGACCCGCGUCUGAUUAGCUAGUUGGUAAGGUAAUGGCUUACCAAGGCGACGAUCAGUAGCCGACCUGAGAGGGUGAUCGGCCACAUUGGAACUGAGACACGGUCCAAACUCCUACGGGAGGCAGCAGUGGGGAAUAUUGCACAAUGGGCGAAAGCCUGAUGCCAACAACGCCGCGUGAGUGAUGAAGGCCUUCGGGUCGUAAAACUCUGUCCUCAAGGAAGAUAAUGACGGUACUUGAGGAGGAAGCCCCGGCUAACUACGUGCCAGCAGCAGC